rnacentral:rRNA from 1 species
GACGAACGCUGGCGGCGUGCCUAAUACAUGCAAGUCGAGCGCUGAAGGUUGGUACUUGUCCCGACUGGAUGAGCAGCGAACGGGUGAGUAACGCGUGGGGAAUCUGCCUUUGAGCGGGGGACAACAUUUGGAAACGAAUGCUAAUACCGCAUAAAAACUUUAAACACAAGUUUUAAGUUUGAAAGAUGCAAUUGCAUCACUCAAAGAUGAUCCCGCGUUGUAUUAGCUAGUUGGUGAGGUAAAGGCUCACCAAGGCGAUGAUACAUAGCCGACCUGAGAGGGUGAACGGGCACAAUGGGACUGAGACACGGCCCCAACCCCUACGGGGAGGAGCAGUAGGGGAUCAUUGGCAAUGGACGAAAGUCUGACCGCGCAACGCCGCGUGAGUGAAGAAGGUUCUCGGAUCGUAAAACUCUGUUGGUAGAGAAGAACGUUGGGGAGAGUGGAAAGCUCAUCAAGUGACGGUAACUACCCAGAAAGGGACGGCUGACUACGUG